GCCAUCUGUCAACAUACUCUUACCGUUUGAUGGAUGACCAUCUAGGCCUCUCAGAAAGCAUCAUUUAGCAUGAAACACCACUGCAAUACGGAACUGCAGUCAUCCCCUAAGUGAGUGGCAAUACUUCCUCUGAAAUCUUAGUAAAUUCUGGUACUUUGGAACACCAUCCUGAAUACACACCUGGCAAAUAUACCAACUCUCCAAUGUACCAUCUCUCCA